AUGUUACAAAAGAAUUUUGAUGUGCAUCAAAUUUAGAACUCUCAGCCUGGCUAUGUUCUGGACCCUGCCAAUAGGGGGUUAUGCAUUGGCAAUUCUGGCCCCACCACAGGGUAUAAGUGUGGUAUUCUGGCCCACUCCGCAGGGUAUAAGUGCGGUAUUCUGGCCCACUCCGCAGGGUAUAAGUGCGGUUCUGUUUCUGGCCUAGCCACAGGGUAUAAGUGUGGUCGUAGCUAAAGGAUGAUGAGAUGAAUGUGAUUUGUUUCGAAUCAGAUUUAUAAUUAUGUAUAUGGAUAUUUGAAAGAUAUAGAUUUUAAUGAAUUUGUGCUUGAAAAGGAAUUGAUUAUGUUAUUAUGUUGAGUCAUCGUAAUUUGUAUUUAUAUUUUAUGUUAUUAUAUGAAUUGACUAGUUAAAGUGUUUAUUACUUACUGGGCUGUCUAGCUCAUUAUACAAUUUCUUGUUGUUUUACAGAUUCCGAGAACUAACCUAUCGGGAAUUUAAAAUGAGAGAGCGACUAGAAGAACUGAAGCACAAGUUAUCCUAGAUUAGGCUUUAUUUAAAUUAAUGUU
rnacentral:lncRNA from 1 species